rnacentral:lncRNA from 1 species
AAUUGUAUCUACUUCACUGUUUUCCUCUUUCCUUUUCCUUCUCUUCAUUACUUGUUUCUCUUUAAGACUUUAAAUUACCACUUCCUCUCCCCACUGCCCUGAGAACUCUAAUAAUUAUGACCCUCGGGGCUCAUUUCCCUUCCUUCUUUCUACCCCAUUCUGAAUUCCUCCUUUGAGCUUUAUGUGGCAAGAGUGUUGACGUGAGUGAGCUCCUCACCAGGAGACCCGUAGGCAGACUGGGGGCUGUCUUCACAGUACCUGCAAGUUUUAAAGUUAUCAAUGUUCUUUUGUGAGUGGGAGGACCUGAGUCACAGUUGUAAAUGUCAGCUGUACUAGCUGAGGGUCAUUAAUUCCUUUCAACCUUCACAUUUGGCCAAAGAUAAAGAGAAAAAUAUUUUCUGGUUUCUCUCUCUUUUUUUCAAUACCACAGUGUUCAAAUUCCGGAUAUGAGUAGUCAAUUUCUGAGGGAGAAAAAAAAAUUAUCACUGCUGACUCUCAGCUACUGCUAAUAUUUAGCCAGAUGACAUAUUUACUGGCUACUAGACACAGAAGUCUAAUGAAAGGUGUGAUAUUUCAGAAUAAUUUUGAUAACUGCCCGAGCCUUAGUGAGCUCUUCUAAAACAAGUAAAGCCACUUCUCAAACGUAUCGUAUGGGAUGACUAAGAAUAAAUUUUUUAUUUAUUAUCUUUUUGAAAGACAAAUGAUUGGCUUAUAACUCGAAGUAGGAAUUUACUAAGGGAUAAAAAGAUCCAUAGUUUCUAAAGUGUCUAUUUUGCAACCAGAUUUUUUUUAAACCUGAACUUAAUAUGUGCUUAAAUAAAAUAAUAACAAGGCUGAACAGAUACUUGAUGGGCCAUGUAAUACACUCCCCAGUACCUAAGCAUUCACCAUGUAAUUCGGUCAUCAUGCUAGAUGCCAUUUCAAUGACUUACAACUGUCAGGUUGCCAGAACAUCGCCCAAAGACUGGUACAGCUUUGGGUCUGUCCCUUUACAGGAUGUUUAUGACUUGAUCUUAACAACUCUGCAGGGGUCCCAGUCCAGCACUCUUAUUGUGACACCGCCUUACUGCUCAGCUUCUGUGGCAUUUAGAGCACUACCUGGUUUUGAGCACACAAGGGCAUGCUUUCAUUUCUUACUGUAUCCACUGACAGACAGAAGCAACAUUAAUAUCAGAAAUAGAGCAAUGAGAUAAAGACGUUCAGGAGUUACCUGGUGGCUCUCUGGGUUAAGGAUCUGGCAUUGUCCCUGCUAUGGUUCUGGUGCAGGUUUGAUCCCUGGCCCCAGAACUUUGCAUGCUGAGGGCAUAGCCAAAAAAUAUAUAGAAAAGCACUCAAGUCAACACAUUUUUUAAAAAUAAAUUAAAAGAGGUUCAAAAGCCUUUCCAAGUUUCUAUUCUCAUAGGAAAUCAGAACUUCUUAAAGCCAGUAUUUAUGUUGCCUAGGGCUAUGAUCUUCAUUUCACACAUUCUUCCCAUUAUUUCUAUCUCCUUGCUGUCCUUUGUCUGUUCUGAUUUCCUCUAUCUUUUUUUUUAAAGUACUCUUCAUCUGAAGUACUCCUCUCCUCAGCCUUUGGCUUCUCAAAGAAUAAAAGACUCUCUUUUAAAUCCUAAGUAGCAUCAUGUAAAGUAUAAUGUGGAGGAGGAGAGGAUCCAGUUCUGAUAGGUCCCGUGUGGUCCAGUUUAUCACAAGGAUUCCUCCAGAAUGCCUUCUUGACAUUGUUCAUUCUAGUUCCCCAAGAAGGGCUCUAACCCUGAGACCUGGGAUUUCUCACUACAACCUCUGCAUUAGUCUAGAUUAAUGUCUAAAGCCUGUUUAAUAUUCUGGAGACUCCAGGAUGUGAAUUUCUUAUUGCUUAUGAGCCUCCUGCUUUUCUAAGCUGACACCUGUCAGGAGCACCAGUAGCCCUCACAGUAACUAAUGCAGCAGAAUAAUGGUCAGAAACAUUAUAGUAUGUAUUGGGGAGGAUAAGAAGAGAUUUGUUUCUUUUCCUCCAUUCAGAGCUUGCUUUCUCCCCCAUCCCACCCCACCCCUGCCACCACAAUGCAUUUCAGAAACUCUGCAUCUCAUUUUACAGAUAUGUAGUUUUAGGAUUUGCAAAUAUAGCUUAGGAAAUGUUCCGAGAUUGAGGCUGGUAGCAAACCAGUUUAUUUUCUGCACUGGACUUUAGGACAAGUGUGCACAGAUACAAUUCCUUCAAAGAAAGUGAAACUAACAUAGUAAAGCAAAGGGAUAAUACUUUUACACAUUAAAACAGUUGUUUGCUAUCUGUAAACCUUGAUGUAAGCAUAAUUACUACUUUUUAGAAACCUAAAACUGGAGGAAUGUGUAUUUUAGUAAAGUUUGUUUGUUGAUUUGUUUGUAUCUCUUUCUUCUCAAGACAGUAAAAAAAAUUUAAUUCUUUCAUUUGAUACUGUCCAAGGCCAUAGGCAUCAGUCAAAUUUCCAACCUUUACCAUACUCCUUUCUCUCUUAGAAUGAAAAGCCUUCUAUUCUAUCAUUAAGGAGCCUUUCUCCAUGAAAAUCUUUAUCUUCCUUUUCAAGUAGCAUGUGAGAGCUUUGAGGAGAGAGAUUUGCUCUGCACUUUGAGGGUAGGAUAGUUAAAAUAAAAGCUAUUCCUUGAAAAAGAAACCUGUGUACCUAAACUAAUAGGUCCGAAGCCUAACAAUGGGAAUUGAUUGCAGAUAAAGGUCAUGCCUUUCACACUACAAAUCCUUAUUGCCUUCUCACAUUUUUUGAAAUAAGGCUGGGAAUAAACUAAAGUAGUGAAAAUCCUCCUUGGAUGCUUCUUAUGAAUAUAGUACAGAAUCAC